AUCAUAUGUAUGUAUGUAUGAACAAAGCUAUGAGGAAGAACAAAGCUCUGAGGAAGAACAAAGCUCAAAGCUCAAUUGAAAGGAAGAACAAUGGCUCCAGGUAAGGUUAUUUGUACUCUCUGAGUGCUUCAACUCUUAACAAGCAAUGGAAUGUUAUGGGGCCGUUCUUGGAAAAAAACUGCAGCAUCUUUUCGCCUUCUCCCUCCCACAGAAAACUAUGUGCCUCCAUACAAGGAUCCCUGGAGAUUUUGGUGACACGUAAAUAGUUUUAAUUUCUAUUUUUGUUACUGUAUUUAAUUCAAGUACAAGGAUUAGAGAAUUCGGGCAGCAAAUUUGUAACGAAAUUUUGUGAAUAGCAAUUUGAGUCUCUUUUCUUUGUCUCUGC